CUCGUCUGCACGGCGCAGGGCAGCAGGAGUUUUCUCUGCCUGAGCGCAGGGCCCCGCCCGCUCCCCCUGCUGCCACCGGGGCUGCAGUGCUGGGCAGCUGCUUGUGCCGGGCUUCAUCUGCACCACAUCCACGGCACCUCACAAACGUGCUGGUGCUGGGAGGCUGCUGCACAUGUGAGCGACAGCAGCUGGGGAGGACGGAGACUGCACUUCUUAUGCUGGCUUGAAGGGCUUGGGGAGCUAUAAUAUUCUCCCCUCUUUCCCCACCUAUUUAUGGGGACGGCAGCUUCUCCAGAGGGCAGUAGAAGCUGUUUUAAUGGCCCUGGAACUCCACAGUAGUCUUUAGAAUUCUUUCACGUGUCCCUAAAUGUCAGCUCUCACGGGGCCAAUGGAGACACCUGCUUGGGCUUUCUUUCGCAGAUGUCCCAGAUCCCCACAUGCGCAGCCAGUGCUUUCUGGCACGUCCUGGCUCACUGCAGCUCGCUGUCAAAAUAGUUCUAACUAUCUGACAACGUGUUUAUUGAACAAGUUGUUCUGAUGCGGUGCUGGAUAUUGAGCAACACGGCGGGCUGUAGAUCUCUCUCAGGGAUGCACUCCUAUUUCAUUUGGCUCUUGUGCCUGUUGCCAGUUCUAGGGAGGAAGGUCAGAGCUGAGUUCUACUUCUUUUUGUUUGCCUUGCUGUCCUCUGUGUGUUCAACUCAUAGCAAUGUUGAAUACCAUUCAUAACAGCCUUUUUUGUGUAUGUGUGGGGGGGAGGCAACAGAGGGAACCACAUACCCAUUUCUGAAGCCUCCUUUUUGCCAUGAGUGAGUUAGAGUCACUGAAAGUGGUGAAGAUCAAGAAUCCCUUUGCCGUAUAAUUGUACAGUGAAAAGGCUUCCCAUCAUUGGCAGAGGAGUCUCAGUGCUGUGCAGUGGUCUGUCCAACGCAGCAGAUACUUCCCAGCAUACCAGACUGAAUCCAAAGGAACUGGUGAAGGGUGAAGACAGAACUGUUGGUGGUGGAUUUGAAUUUCAAUGUCAACUCAUGGAGGAUUUCUCACUCUGAACACUGCUCCAAACACCGAAGGGAAGGGAUCCAGCCCUGGCCCACAGGAACCUGACCUCGGUGAGGGGAAGCUCUGAGCCUGGAUCCUCUUUGCAGCCCAUAGCUCAGCACUUGGAUGUUUCAUGUCUUGCGUCAGACUCUCCCAUUUGAGCUGACUGUGGAGCCACUUCAGUGCUCAGCAUCAGCUAGAGCCAAGGGUGCAGUGGAAAACACCAAGAAAACCAAAGUAAGGGCACUUCAGGUGACCACCCAGAGCCUCAUGAUUGGUCUUUCUGAUGUUAGACUGCAUAGGGCUUAGGGAAGACAGACCACCUGCCUGCAGCCCAGCAGUGGAACUCAUCAUCCACCUGAAUGCCUCAUAAAUGAAAGUGCUUCCUAGCACAGACUCAGGUUUCCCAGCAGUGCUCUGGAUGCUCUUCAGCAGCGCACACAGUGGCAGUCAGUCCUGACUGAAGUGACCGCUGCCCUGACUGUGCAGUGCUGCUGGCAGGAGCUGUGUGGUUCUGCUGGGUUUCAGCAGCCUGCUCCUGCUCUGAGCCUUCAGCAUCUUCCAGCCCACUGAGAGCCACUGGCCAAUGUACAGAGGAAAGGAGAACUGCUCACACCAAGCCCUCAGAAGAGAAGCUUUUUUCACUGCUUGGCAUGUGGGCUGUCCUGUUCCCACCAGCAGCAGCACUGCCACCCAACCCAGCUCUUGUUCUGUUUGGAUGUACAAGUGCUCCCACCCUGCACUCAGUCCACCUUUGCUCCUCCAACCAUCAUGCCAGCUCUCCGCAGCCCUUCUUCCCACUCCAGGUUCACUUUUGUGCUUCUUCAGAGCACCUCCUCCUGCAUGUGCUUCUCCCCAUGCUACCCCUCUCCCUUUUGUCUGGGCUCCUGGCGUCUGAUCACCAACGAGAUGAGAUCUGCUGCCUCAAGUCUGUGAGCACUGCUGCAGCUUUGCAGAGAAGAGAGCUCUGGUGAAGACACACAGCCCUUCUCUUCGGGUCUGUGCAGGACCCAAGCUGCCUUUCUCUUUCAGCAUUUCUGGAGGAAGAUGAAUGUCUCGAAGCCAUGUGCACAAGCACAAAACAAGUUUUGGCUGUGGUUAUUUUUUCAAUAAAUGCUAUUUCUGACUAUUAUCAGCAAUAAAUGGCAUCUUGUCAAAAGCAGGCAGGCAGUACCCGAAUGUGCAGAAGUACUGCAUUCAUUUUAACAGCACGAUGGGCAGAGGCUGUGCAGCCCUGAUUCCUGAAUGGCAAAGCCCGGCAUAAGGUGCUGCUCUGGGGCUCCCAGAGAUUCCCAUCACAAAGCUCAUCUCCCAUCCGCCAUCAGAGCCAGCCAAGUGCUCACUGCGCAUGGAGUCCUUUCUCCGGGCAGCUGUGCCCUUGGAGAGGGCAGCGGGGAAAGCAGAGUCUGGUUGCGAUACUUCAGCUAAUACAAUCAUUGCAGAAAACCAGAACGAAUUCUGCAGGAAAAUAUAUAGUAACAUGAGGACAUCAGCAAGCAUGGGAUGGCAACAGAUGGGCUCUUUGAGCACUCAGCUAAGCGUAUUCAUCGCACUGCAUUUAUUGCUCUUCAAAGAAUGCUGAGAUUUCCUUCUUCAUUAAGUUUGUUGAGAAGCAAUGAAAGCUCAUGCGAUUUUAUUUUUAAGUAUUGUUUUACUACCCAACAGCAACAGCAGAUUCAUAAAAUGACACGUGAUUGACCAGGACCAUGGAGAAAAAAACUGUUUUCUUGGUACAUUCUUAUUAGUCUUGGCUAAGAUGUUAUAAAAGCAGUAUCUUUUAACACCUUUUAUUAUACAAGGGUCAGGGGGUUUUUAUGUUUCUUAAAGAAAGCUUCAAAUAGCCCACAUAGCGGGCUGCUGCUCCUUUCAUAUGGCUGCUGCACAAACAAGCACAUUUUACACGGGAAAUGACAUAACCAUGUAAAAGUGUACAUGGAGUUUAGGCACAUAUUCAAACACUAAUGGGAAUGCAUUGUUUUAAAUGGCAUACUUUUAUGUUUACCUAUUCAGCUUAGUGCCCAUAUUUUAGCCAAAUACAACAAAAAUUAUCCACACAUACCUGUCUUAUGGUGUGCUGUUUAUUUGAAAAUUUGGACUUUCACAAAGACUCUCGUGGGACAGAUAAUGACCCUAAAAAGUAAAUACAAAUGAGGCAUUCUCAGUGAGAGAGUGAGACCUGCCAUCGUAAAGGUGGAAAGCUGAACUUUUAACCUGCGUUGCUCUACAGCUCAGGUUUCCACACGUUUCAGCCAUGCAGUUGCUAACACCGACUCACCCCUGGGAAGAAAGCUGUGACCAUAACGUGGGGUGUCUAUCUUUGCACGUUGUAUAAUGACCGCACUAAAGAAAGCGGUGCCAAACUUCUGCAAGACCCGAGGCCCUCUGCUUCUUCCCAGUUUCUAUGCUGUGUGUCAAGUCCCACACGGUGCCCUGUCCCCAAAUCUCUGCUUUCAUGGAGGAAUGAGGCCCAAACGUGUCCAUCUGGGCUCUACUUCUGGGUUUUCUUCCAUCAGGAACGUCUGUAAUGGCCACCAAUCCCACUCCUUGAGAGCUUCAAGACAAGUUUCCACUCUCACUCCAGAUAACAAGAUCUGAAAUGUAGAAAUGGAACGCAUAUAUGGAAUUAAGGCUAUUAAAAGUAAGCUCAUGGCGGCCUCUUUUUGUUGCUGUUGGAGUUGUGGGUGAUAUGAGAAUAAAAGAAACAGCUUUGAGACAA